AAAGCCAGCAAAAACCAAUGGCCGCCCACGCCGGCAGUCACAUAUACAAAGCGAGAGGACCCACCACACAGCAUUCUUUUUAUUUUCCUUAAUAACAGAUCGUCUCAAAUCAGAAGGAUAGACUGUGUCGAAGAGAGAAAAUGACUCGAGGAAAGCAGAAGAUCGAAGCCCAGAGGAAAAACGCAGAAAGGAAUCAGAAAUCUAAGGGAUCUCAGUUUGAAGCCCGAGCUGUUGCUCUCAAGGUUACCUGCCCCAUCUGUAAGGUUCAGCUGGCAAAUAGUAAUCAACUAGGUGAUCAUUAUGCCUCCAAACAUCCAAAAGAGAAGCCUCCUGCCGAAUCGAGCUGAUUUAUCUUGGUCACUUGUGUAAAAAAACGAAGUUGUUCCAACCUGUCAAAGCAUUAUGUUAAUGAAUGUGUGUGACUGUUUUGUCAUCUGAACUCGAGGAAUUGAUGAUGUUUGUUUGUUGUUUUUUCAUGUGGGAGCGAUAAGUUUACAUGGCUAUGGUGUUGAUUUUCUCGUCAUUGAUGUUUGUAACGACCAUCAAGAACUUUUUCCUUAAGAAUCAGCAAGUAUGGCUAAUUGAUUGCAGGACGGAAAAUUUUGAACCAUGGAGAUGUAGUUUGAAAGUGGGGAAAGGGAGUACAUCGUUAUGGUGGGGAUAAUAGGCACCAAUUAAGUCUUUUGUGGGAGAAUUGUAAUGGAAUCUGGGCUAUCGCAAUGGUUCUGUCGUUAUCAUUGUGAAUAUAAUGACUUGUUUCUAUACAAUCCCAGAUCAGACUAACAUUGUUAGCGUUCAAAUUGCUCCUUAGGAUGAUUUGUAUUAAUUAUCGGGAUGAAGACACUGUUCAUUUUAGAUAAAAAUGCUCUCAUGUAGAAGCCUUUGGGAAAAAUACGAGUAGAAAAGGGAGGGUUGAACGGUAUAAAGUUUAAACUCGUCGCCGGACACUCGUACAUAUUCCUAGAUGUGGUUUUAGUGCUUGGUUGGCAGUAGAGUAUGUGACAACCAAAGCAAGACAAAGGAAAAUGUGAAGGAAUAUUGAUCCUAAUUAUGUGAUCAUCAGGCCUCUUUUCCACUUGCUCAGGAAUGAAAGCAGUGCGGGAAGCAAGUCAUUUUGCGGCUUUGAUUUUUUUUGUGUUGCGCUACAUAUCAUAAUCUUAUUGAAUAA